UACAGAGGUCCCGAGCGUUGUUCGGAUUCAUUGGGCGUAAAGGGUGCGUAGGCGGCUUCCUAAGUUUGAUGUGAAUCCUGGGCUCAACCCUGGACUGCAUUGAAUACUGGGAGGCUAGAGUACUGGAGAGGAAACUGGAAUUACGGUGUAGCAGUGAAAUGCGUAGAGAUCGAUAAGGAAGACCAGUGGCGAAGGCGAGUUCUGGACAGUUACUGACGCUGAGGCACGAAGGCCAGGGAGCAAACGGG
rnacentral:rRNA from 1 species